rnacentral:rRNA from 1 species
CCUCGAGUGAAUGGAUUAAGAGCUUGCUCUUAUGAAGUUAGCGGCGGACGGGUGAGUAACACGUGGGUAACCUGCCCAUAAGACUGGGAUAACUCCGGGAAACCGGGGCUAAUACCGGAUAACAUUUUGAACCGCAUGGUUCGAAAUUGAAAGGCGGCUUCGGCUGUCACUUAUGGAUGGACCCGCGUCGCAUUAGCUAGUUGGUGAGGUAACGGCUCACCAAGGCAACGAUGCGUAGCCGACCUGAGAGGGUGAUCGGCCACACUGGGACUGAGACACGGCCCAGACUCCUACGGGAGGCAGCAGUAGGGAAUCUUCCGCAAUGGACGAAAGUCUGACGGAGCAACGCCGCGUGAGUGAUGAAGGCUUUCGGGUCGUAAAACUCUGUUGUUAGGGAAGAACAAGUGCUAGUUGAAUAAGCUGGCACCUUGACGGUACCUAACCAGAAAGCCACGGCUAACUACGUGCCAGCAGCCGCGGUAAUACGUAGGUGGGCAAGCGUUAUCCGGAAUUA